GGCGAACCGGGGGAACUGAAACAUCUAAGUACCCCGAGGAAAAGAAAUCAACCGAGAUUCCGAAAGUAGCGGCGAGCGAAAUUGGACUAGCCCUUAAGCUUUACACGCGUUAGACGAACGGUCUGGAAAGUCCGACGAUACAGGGUGAUAGUCCCGUAGUUGACGACGUGUGUUCAGUGAAAUCGAGUAGGGCGGGACACGUGAUAUCCUGUCUGAAUAUGGGGGGACCAUCCUCCAAGGCUAAAUACUACUGACUGACCGAUAGUGAACCAGUACCGUGAGGGAAAGGCGAAAAGAACCCCUGUGAGGGGAGUGAAAUAGAACCUGAAACCGUGUACGUACAAGCAGUAGGAGCAGGCUUUGUCCUGUGACUGCGUACCUUUUGUAUAAUGGGUCAGCGACUUAUAUUCAGUGGCAAGGUUAACCAUCUAGGGGAGCCGUAGGGAAACCGAGUCUUAACUGGGCGUUCAGUCUCUGGAUAUAGACCCGAAACCAGGUGAUCUAGCCAUGGGCAGGUUGAAGGUUGAGUAACAUCAACUGGAGGACCGAACCGACUAAUGUUGAAAAAUUAGCGGAUGACUUGUGGCUAGGGGUGAAAGGCCAAUCAAACCUGGAGAUAGCUGGUUCUCCCCGAAAGCUAUUUAGGUAGCGCCUCGGACGAAUACUACUGGGGGUAGAGCACUGUUAAGGCUAGGGGGUCAUCCCGACUUACCAACCCUUUGCAAACUCCGAAUACCAGUAAGUACUAUCCGGGAGACACACGGCGGGUGCUAACGUCCGUCGUGGAGAGGGAAACAACCCAGACCGCCAGCUAAGGUCCCAAAUUACUACUAAGUGGGAAACGAUGUGGGAAGGCUCAGACAGCCAGGAUGUUGGCUUAGAAGCAGCCAUCAUUUAAAGAAAGCGUAAUAGCUCACUGGUCGAGUCGGCCUGCGCGGAAGAUGUAACGGGGCUAAGUAGUAAACCGAAGCUGCGGCAAUGUGCUUUUGCACAUUGGGUAGGGGAGCGUUCUGUAAGCGGUUGAAGGUGUGUGGUAACGCAUGCUGGACGUAUCAGAAGUGCGAAUGCUGACAUGAGUAACGAUAAAGGGGGUGAAAAACCUCCUCGCCGGAAGACCAAGGGUUCCUGUCCAACGUUAAUCGGGGCAGGGUAAGUCGACCCCUAAGGCGAGGCCGAAAGGCGUAGUCGAUGGGAAACGGGUUAAUAUUCCCGUACUUCUUACAAUUGCGAUGGGGGGACGGAGAAGGCUAGGUGGGCCUGGCGACGGUUGUCCAGGUUCAAGUGCGUAGGCUUAAGCGNNNNNNNNNNNNNNNNNNNNNNNNNNNNNNNNNNNNNNNNNNNNNNNNNNNNNNNNNNNNNNNNNNNNNNNNNNNNNNNNNNNNNNNNNNNNNNAUGUGAAGUCAUUGAUGCCAUGCUUCCAGGAAAAGCCUCUAAGCUUCAGAUUGUAAGGAAUCGUACCCCAAACCGACACAGGUGGUCGGGUAGAGAAUACCAAGGCGCUUGAGAGAACUCGGGUGAAGGAACUAGGCAAAAUGGUACCGUAACUUCGGGAGAAGGUACGCUCUCGACGGUGAAGUCCCUCGCGGAUGGAGCUAUUGAGAGUCGCAGAUACCAGGUGGCUGCAACUGUUUAUUAAAAACACAGCACUGUGCAAAAUCGUAAGAUGACGUAUACGGUGUGACGCCUGCCCGGUGCCGGAAGGUUAAUUGAUGGGGUUAGACUUCGGUCGAAGCUCUUGAUCGAAGCCCCGGUAAACGGCGGCCGUAACUAUAACGGUCCUAAGGUAGCGAAAUUCCUUGUCGGGUAAGUUCCGACCUGCACGAAUGGCGUAAUGAUGGCCACGCUGUCUCCACCCGAGACUCAGUGAAAUUGAAAUCGCUGUGAAGAUGCAGUGUACCCGCGGCUAGACGGAAAGACCCCGUGAACCUUUACUACAGCUUGGCACUGAACAUUGACCCUACAUGUGUAGGAUAGGUGGGAGGCUUUGAAGCACGUACGCCAGUAUGUGUGGAGCCGUCCUUGAAAUACCACCCUUGUAGUGUUGAUGUUCUAACGUCGACCCCUUAUCGGGGUUGCGGACAGUGCCUGGUGGGUAGUUUGACUGGGGCGGUCUCCUCCCAAAGAGUAACGGAGGAGCACGAAGGUGGGCUAAUCACGGUUGGACAUCGUGAGGUUAGUGCAAUGGCAUAAGCCCGCUUGACUGCGAGAAUGACAAUUCGAGCAGGUGCGAAAGCAGGUCAUAGUGAUCCGGUGGUUCUGAAUGGAAGGGCCAUCGCUCAACGGAUAAAAGGUACUCCGGGGAUAACAGGCUGAUACCGCCCAAGAGUUCAUAUCGACGGCGGUGUUUGGCACCUCGAUGUCGGCUCAUCACAUCCUGGGGCUGAAGUCGGUCCCAAGGGUAUGGCUGUUCGCCAUUUAAAGUGGUACGCGAGCUGGGUUUAGAACGUCGUGAGACAGUUCGGUCCCUAUCUGCCGUGGGCGUUGGAAGAUUGAAGGGGGCUGCUCCUAGUACGAGAGGACCGGAGUGGACGAACCUCUGGUGUUCGGGUUGUGUCGCCAGACGCAUUGCCCGGUAGCUAAGUUCGGAAUCGAUAACCGCUGAAAGCAUCUAAGCGGGAAGCGAGCCCUGAGAUGAGUCUUCCCUGAUACUUUAAGUAUCCUAAAGGGUUGUCGGAGACUACGACGUUGAUAGGUCAGGUGUGUAAGUGCUGUGAGGCAUUGAGCUAACUGAUACUAAUUGCCCGUGAGGCUUAACCAUACAACACCCAAGGGGUUU
rnacentral:rRNA from 1 species